CGGACCUCGGAGGCCAUGACGGCGCCGGCGAAGCGCCUUGGGCGGGAGGCGCCCGUCCUCGCGCGCGCGCAGCCCCGCCACCCGCGUCCCCUCCGCCGGCAUCGCCUCCUCCUCCCUCCUCCGCCGCCGCGAGGGCUCCUCUUCUCCUCCCCUCUGCCGGUGCUGCCACUGCUGCUGCUUCCUGUUUUUUUUGGGAGCGAAGCUAAUGGCCUGAUGAUGCUGGGCCUGCCGAGCCCCGCGCCUGUUGGGCCUGGGCCGCGCGCGUCGGGGCCCAACCGGAACCGGGCUCCUCCCCGGCCCGACCCCCGCCUACACAAACCAAAUCGAACCAGCGAAACCCAUUCCGGCAACCCAACCGCAUCGCACGCCCGACGCGCAGCCGAAACCCUAGCCCCGCCCCGCCCCUUCCUCCCCCGCGCACCCCGCCGUCUCCGCCGUCCCGUUCGCCGCGCCAUGGCCGAUUCCCCGCGCCGGAGGUACACAAGGCCCUCAAGGUCCCCUUCUCCUUAUAAGGGACGCCAAAAGCAAAUGUCAAGGUCAAGAUCACCUGUAGCUCAAUCCCAGUCUAGAUCUCCAUCGCCUGAUCCUAGAGCUCAGGCGAGGUCAAGAUCUCGAAGCCCUGCGAGGGAGCGGGAGCCUGAAGCUGUAAAUCAUGGAAAUACUCUGUACAUUACUGGACUUUCUUCUAGGGUGACUGAUAAAGAACUUAGAGAGUACUUCAAUAAGGAAGGAAAGGUGGUUUCUUGUCAUGUUGUUCUUGAACCCCACACACGUGUUUCUCGUGGAUUUGCUUUCAUCACCAUGGACACUGUUGAAGAUGCUGAACGCUGCAUCAAGUAUCUCAACCAGUCAGAACUGCAAGGCCGGAACAUCACAGUUGAAAAGAAGACAUUGUGCAAGCUAUGUGCCAGCAAUCAAGAUGCUGAGUUCAUCAAUUUCAACUUUAGCUCAUACAGCUUGAUCAAUGGACAGCCCAAAGGGUUACUAUGCAACACGAGAUUCACAACAACUAAACGUAGCAAAUUUUCAACUAAACCUGAGCAUUCACCUUCAACUCCCCAUCAACUAAUCAACGGGCAUUUCCAACACUUUAGUCAAGUUGUCUGGUGACAUAUGCAUAGCAAUGUUGGAUGUCUGCUAGUUGGAGUUUGUGCUCUUCAUUAAGUAUUUCCUUCCUCCUUGGUCCGUUAAUGCAGGGUGUAUAUCCGCCGAUCUCACGCAGAGGCCGCCCAAGGACGCCUACUCCUGGGAGCUAUCUGGGCCAUCGCUAUGAGCGCAGAGAGAUGCAGUGUGGAGGUAGAUUCCGCAGAGGAGGCUACGGUCGUGACGACUACUAUGGAAACAGCUACCGCAGGUCUCCGCCUCCCAUGUACCGAGAAUACAGGGACACCCGGGACUACCCUCCCUACAGGGACACCCGUGACUACUCCCCGCCCCACAGGGAUGCCCGAGACUACUAUGACGGCAGGGGUGGCCGGGGCUACUCCCCCCACAGGUCUCCCCCUCC